GCUGGGAUAGCUCAGCCUGUAGAGCAGGCAACUCUUUAUCUCAGGGUUGUGGGUUUGAGCCCCACGUUGGGCA